rnacentral:rRNA from 1 species
CACUCCUACGGGUGGCUGCAGCCGGGAAUCGUGCGCAAUGGCGAAAGUCUGACGCCGCGACGCCGCGUGAAGGAUGAAGGCCUUCGGGUCGUAAACUCUUUUGCCAAGAGGUAAUUUCUUGGAGAAUAAGCACCGGCUAACUCUGUGCCAGCAGCAGCGGUAAUACAGAGGGUGCAAGCGUUGUCCGGAUUUAUUGGGCGUAAAGAGUUCGUAGGCGCCUUGAUAAGUUGCCUUUCAAAGACCGGGGCUUAACCUCGGAAAGGGGGGCAAUACUAUCAGGGUUGAAAUGUUUCGGGGCUACUGGAACUUGCGGUGUAGGAGUGAAAUCCGUUGAUAUCGCAAGGAACACCGAGGGCGAAGGCGGGUAGCUAGGAACUAUUUGACGCUGAAGAACGAAAGCUAGGGGAGCGAAAGGGAUUAGAGACCCCUGUAGUCCUGGCCGUAAACUAUGCUCGCUAGCGGUGUGUCCUUUAUUGGGUGCGCCGCGUAAGCUAACGCGUUAAGCGAGCCGCCUGGGGAGUACGAACGCAAGUUUA